rnacentral:rRNA from 1 species
UUCACCCCCGGCUUACACAUCGAGUCGAGCGGGGGAAGGUAGCUUGCUACUGGACCUAGCCCGGGACGGGUGAGUAAUGCUUAGGAAUCUGCCUAUUAGUGGGGGACAACAUCUCGAAAGGGAUGCUAAUACCGCAUACGUCCUACGGGAGAAAGCAGGGGAUCUUCGGACCUUGCGCUAAUAGAUGAGCCUAAGUCGGAUUAGCUAGUUGGUCCCCUAAAGGCCUACCAAGGCGACGAUCUGUAGCGGGUCUGAGAGGAUGAUCCGCCACACUGGGACUGAGACACGGGGGUGACUCCUACGGGAGGCAGCAGUGGGGAAUAUUGGACAAUGGGGGGAACCCUGAUCCAGCCAUGCCGCGUGUGUGAAGAAGGCCUUAUGGUUGUAAAGCACUUUAAGCGAGGAGGAGGCUACUUUAGUUAAUACCUAGAGAUAGUGGACGAAACUCGCAGAAUAAGCACCGGCUAACUCUGUGCCAGCAGCCGCGGUAAUACAGAGGGUGCGAGCGUUAAUCGGAUUUACUGGGCGUAAAGCGUGCGUAGGCGGCUUAUUAAGUCGGAUGUGUUUACGGGGAGCUUAACUUGGGAAUUGCAUUCGAUACUGGUGAGCUAGAGUAUGGGAGAGGAUGGUAGAAUUCCAGGUGUAGCGGUGAAAUGCGUAGAGAUCUGGAGGAAUACCGAUGGCGAAGGCAGCCAUCUGGCCUAAUACUGACGCUGAGGUACGAAAGCAUGGGGAGCAAACAGGAUUAGAUACCCUGGUAGUCCAUGCCGUAAACGAUGUCUACUAGCCGUUGGGGCCUUUGAGGCUUUAGUGGCGCAGCUAACGCGAUAAGUAGACCGCCUGGGGAGUACGGUCGCAAGACUUUUUCUCAAAUGAAUUGACGGGGGCCCGCACAAGCGGUGGAGCAUGUGGAAAAAUUCGAUGCAACGCGAAGAACCUUACCUGGCCUUGACAUACUAGAAACUUUCCAGAGAUGGAUUGGUGCCAAGGGGAAUCUAGAUACAGGUGCUGCAUGGCUGUCGUCAGCUCGUGUCGUGAGAUGUUGGGUUAAGUCCCGCAACGAGCGCAACCCUUUUCCUUACUUGCCAGCAUUUCGGAUGGGAACUUUAAGGAUACUGCCAGUGACAAACUGGAGGAAGGCGGGGACGACGUCUUGUCAUCAUGGCCCUUACGGCCAGGGCUACACACGUGCUACAAUGGUCGGUACAAAGGGUUGCUACACAGCGAUGUGAUGCUAAUCUCAAAAAGCCGAUCGUAGUCCGGAUACGAGUCUGCAACUCGACUCCAUGUUGUCGGAAUCGCUAGUAAUCGCGGAUCAGAAUGCCGCGGUGAAUACGUUGGGGCCCCUUGU